ACACAUGCAAGUCGAGCGGUAGCACAGAGAGCUUGCUCUCGGGUGACGAGCGGCGGACGGGUGAGUAAUGUCUGGGAAACUGCCUGAUGGAGGGGGAUAACUACUGGAAACGGUAGCUAAUACCGCAUAACGUCUCAAGACCAAAGUGGGGGACCUUCAGGCCUCAUGCCAUCAGAUGUGCCCAGAUGGGAUUAGCUAGUAGGUGGGGUAACGGCUCACCUAGGCGACGAUCCCUAGCUGGUCUGAGAGGAUGACCAGCCACACUGGAACUGAGACACGGUCCAGACUCCUACGGGAGGCAGCAGUGGGGAAUAUUGCACAAUGGGCGCAAGCCUGAUGCAGCCAUGCCGCGUGUGUGAAGAAGGCCUUCGGGUUGUAAAGCACUUUCAGCGGGGAGGAAGGCGGGUUUAAGGGUUUAAAUAAACCCUUCGGUUCGGAUUUGGACCGUUUACCCCCGCACGAAAGAAAGCCACCCGGGCUUAAACUUCCGGUGGCCCAGCCAGGCCGGCGGGUAAAUACUGGGAGGGGUUGCAAAGGCGUUUAAUUCGGGAAUUUACUUGGGCCGUAAAAGCGCACGGGCCAGGGCGGUUCUUGUCAAAGUCCGGAAUGUGAAAAUCCCCCGGGGCUCAAACCUUGGGAACGUGCAUUCGGAAAACGGGCAAGGCUAGAGUUCUUGUAGAGGGGGGGUAGAAUUCCCAGGUGUAGCGGGUGAAAAUGCGUAGAGAUCUGGAGGAAUACCGGUGGCGAACGCGGCCCCCUGGACAAAGACUGACGCUCAGGUGCGAAAGCGUGGGGAGCAAACAGGAUUAGAUACCCUGGUAGUCCACGCCGUAAACGAUGUCGAUUUGGAGGUUGUGCCCUUGAGGCGUGGCUUCCGGAGCUAACGCGUUAAAUCGACCGCCUGGGGAGUACGGCCGCAAGGUUAAAACUCAAAUGAAUUGACGGGGGCCCGCACAAGCGGUGGAACAUGUGGUUUAAUUCGAUGCAACGCGAAAAACCUUACCUGGUCUUGACAUCCACAGAACUUUCCAGAGAUGGAUUGGUGCCUUCGGGAACUGUGAGACAGGUGCUGCAUGGCUGUCGUCAGCUCGUGUUGUGAAAUGUUGGGUUAAGUCCCGCAACGAGCGCAACCCUUAUCCUUUGUUGCCAGCGGUUAGGCCGGGAACUCAAAGGAGACUGCCAGUGAUAAACUGGAGGAAGGUGGGGAUGACGUCAAGUCAUCAUGGCCCUUACGACCAGGGCUACACACGUGCUACAAUGGCAUAUACAAAGAGAAGCGACCUCGCGAGAGCAAGCGGACCUCAUAAAGUAUGUCGUAGUCCGGAUUGGAGUCUGCAACUCGACUCCAUGAAGUCGGAAUCGCUAGUAAUCGUAGAUCAGAAUGCUACGGUGAAUACGUUCCCGGGCCUUGUACACACCGCCCGUCACACCAUGGGAGUGGGUUGCAAAAGAAGUAGGUAGCUUAACCUUCGGGA
rnacentral:rRNA from 1 species